CCCGAAUAUUAUAGGCCAUUAAUAAAUGAUACCGAUAUUGCUAUUAUUAAUAUUCUAUUAUUCCUGCCCUUAAUCUCACUUUGGCCAAGAAAAGUCUGGUUAUAUCCAAAGUGUAAAUAACAGGGCUAACCUCCAGGCUGCUCAACGAGACAAGGGAAGAGACUUGAAUCAGCCAGUCAGCUGCGAAGACCCUGUGCUUUAACAUGUGCACGUGUGCUGCCGCACGUCCCAUGGCGUGACUUCUCACCUGGCUCGCUUCAUUCAGUCUGGGUCUGUGCCCAAGGAAACAUCUCCAGCUGAAGAGCCCAGUGCCCUCAUUUCCAGGUCUGCCGGGGAGAGAUCAAAGCAGUGGAGCUGCUGAAGGAGCAGAAUACCAUUCAGAGAAGAAGCAACCCAUGUUAUCUUUUUACAUGGCAAUCAAAGAACCAAUAGCUACCCACACUGUGUGAGACCCUUAUAACAUGUAAGGGCCGGAACUCUGUGGCUUCCCACCCGUUUUGUGACCCAUCCAGAACUGCACUGAUUUGAAGGCGCUGUGACUCU
rnacentral:lncRNA from 1 species